CCUACGGGAGGCAGCAGUGAGGAAUAUUGGUCAAUGGACGAGAGUCUGAACCAGCCAAGUAGCGUGAAGGAUGACUGCCCUAUGGGUUGUAAACUUCUUUUAUAUGGGAAUAAAACGUUCCACGUGUGGGAUUUUGUAUGUACCAUAUGAAUAAGGAUCGGCUAAAUCCGUGCCAGCAGCCGCGGUAAUACGGAGGAUCCGAGCGUUAUCCGGAUUUAUUGGGUUUAAAGGGAGCGUAGGUGGAUUUUUAAGUCAGUUGUGAAAGUUUGCGGCUCAACCGUAAAAUUGCAGUUGAAACUGGCAGUCUUGAGUACAGUAGAGGUGGGCGGAAGUCGUGGUGUAGCGGUGAAAUGCUUAGAUAUCACGAAGAACUCCGAUUGCGAAGGCAGUUCACUGGACUGCAACUGACACUGAGGCUCGAAAGUGUGGGUAUCAAACAGGAUUAGAUACCCUGGUAGU
rnacentral:rRNA from 1 species